GCCGGGCGUGGUGGUGCGCGCCUGUAGUCCCAGCUACUCGGAGGCUGAGGCAGGAGAAUGGCGUGAACCCGGGAGGUGGAGCUUGCAGUGAGCCGAGAUCGCGCCACUGCACUCCAGCCUGGGUGACAAAGCGAGACUCCGUCUCAA
ensembl:misc_RNA Metazoa_SRP Metazoan signal recognition particle RNA